rnacentral:rRNA from 1 species
UGAGGAAUAUUGGUCAAUGGGGGCAACCCUGAACCAGCCAAGUCGCGUGAAGGAUGAAGGUCUUAUGGAUUGUAAACUUCUUUUAUACAGGAAUAAAUUGGGGGACGUGUCCCCUUUUGCAUGUACUGUAUGAAUAAGGAUCGGCUAACUCCGUGCCAGCAGCCGCGGUAAUACGGAGGAUCCGAGCGUUAUCCGGAUUUAUUGGGUUUAAAGGGUGCGCAGGCGGGAUGUUAAGUCGGCGGUGAAAUUUUGCAGCUCAACUGUAAAAGUGCCUUCGAUACUGGCCUCCUUGAGUGUGGAUGAAGUAGGCGGAAUUUGUGGUGUAGCGGUGAAAUGCUUAGAUAUCACGAGGAACUCCGAUUGCGCAGGCGGCUUACUAAGCCACAACUGACGCUCAUGCACGAAGGCGUGGGGA